rnacentral:lncRNA from 1 species
AAAAUAAGACAAGCCAACCUUCUUCACACAUUUCAAGUCUUCUUUGGAUGUUUAAGUACCUCCUUCAGUAUUUUAAAGCCCUAUUUUUCUUUAAUUUUUUUUUUUUUUAGAAUAAAAGUACAAAAAAAGCACCCAAAGCACUCCAUAAAGCCGGGUUUGGGUUAUACACCACCGCCUUACCCAGCGGGUACUUUCCCCACUCAUCUGGCUGCAGACACAGCACAAACUCCGGCCCCGGACUCCCCGAGCCUUCCUCCGGCCCGCACACAAACUCGGGCACAGGUUUGCGGGCCUGGGAGGUGUUCUCUGCUCCCGAGCAAUCAGAGGGCGCAACACGGGGCGCUGUUACCUACAAGUUUCGCUCUUUCAGCCUUUGUUCCCCCCUCUCCCUCUGUGCCUUUAUUCCCAUUCUGUCGCCGUUACCAGGAGCCGGACCUUUCCGCGCCCAGGCGGGCAGCGGCUCCCCCCUGCCCGGCCCUGCUCUCACCUGAGGCCGCCGGAAGAGAAGCGGGCGGCGGGGCAGGACCGGGCGCUCCUUCUGCUCUUCCUCCUCCUCCUCCUCCUCCUCCUCCCCGGCCGGUGCCGCCGCCCGAGGUUUCGGCGGGGCCCGGCGAGGCUCCGCGGAGGGCGGAACGCGGCAGCGCCCCGCCCGCCUCCGGGCGGCGGCCGCUGAAGGGCGGCUGGGCGGGGGGCUCGGCCCGGGGCCUCGGAAGGCGGCCACGGGAGGGCGGCCUCGGGGACCGGCCUCAGGGGCUUGGUGGCUGUCGUGCUGGGAGAGCCAUAGGGCUCUCAGUAAGGAGGAAGACGAUGGCUUCGUGUUCCUCAGUUUACUCACCGCUUGCUUUAGUCCUCUCACUGGCUUGUGGGUGGAUUUCGCAGGGCUGGCUGGGAUUCCUCAGCGUGUUCCCCGUAGCUCAACAAGCUGUCCGUGGUCCCAAGCUCAUGGCAGGGGCUGGGGAGAAGACACCAAUCUUCGAUCUUCGUGGAGGCGGGGAGAAGACACCGAUCUCUUCAGAGGCUGGUGUUAGGCUCUGUGGGCCACACCAGGAACAGGUGCCUGUGCCCCCUGCCUGUAGCUGCUGCACUGAAGGGAAAGGCAAGAGGCAGGGGAGCAUGCUAACAGCACGCUGUGAACCCUAG